CACUAAUCUUUUUCUUCUUCUUUUUUUUUUUUAAUCCAAAGCAGUAUCUUUCUUAUGCAUUAAAAUGUGAUUUAAAAUUAUGAGGACAUUGAUAUUAUUUACAGAAAUCAGAAUCUAGUCCAGUUAAGUUUAUAAAAUCAGUCCAGAAAACUUAAAGUACAGAUGAACUGCACAGAUUGGUAAGCAAACAGCCUGAAAAUUCUGCUGUAUAUGAUGUCAUCCCUUUGCUGUAGGUCAGAAAUAACUUCAUGCUGUUAAUUAUAGGUAUUUAUCAUAGUUCAUAUAAUUUUGUGGGGCCCUGACAGUGAUCAAAGGUGGUUCAUUGGACGCCUGUCAUCAAGUGAGCUGGUAAUUGUGGAAUAGCUUAUUUACUAAAUCUAAUAUGUCAUUAAAUAGACUUAUUUUCUCCUUUUCAGAAGUUAAUGUAGUUGAUAAAAGGACAGUUCUGUUUAAGUAAAUUUGAUUUGCUGCAGUCAGGUACAAUAAUUACGUAUGCUUAUGUAUACUAGAUGUUUGCACAUUAACACAUAAAAUUUAUAUUACAGCAUUUUUAAAAGUCUAUCUUACACUGAUAAUAGCCAGGGAGAUAGGAAUUAUGACCUAUGAAAACUCAAUUUUAAGAUGAAUAACAAAUAUAAAUAUAUAAAAGACAUAUAUAUAUAAAAUAUAUAAAAGACUGAAAUCACUAUCAUACAUGUUUACUGUGUGCCCAAACUGAUUCUUGAAAUUAUUUUAAAAACAUUAGAAGGAAAUUUAGACCUCAUGCAAACAUGCUGCAUUUCAGCCAUGAGGACUGCUUUUGUAAAUCUCAAUGAACAUAUGAAAAAAGAAAAACAAAACAGAGAAGGAUUUGAACUGGAACAGAGAAGCUGAUAGUGCUACAAUUAGAUACAUGCUGAACUUUAUUUUUUUCACUGUGCCUCUGAGCCUGAAAGUGCUUUUGUUCUAACCUUGCACCUGGAUCCAGCCUGCUUGCUUUGAAUCUGCCUGCAUCCUGCCUGGGAACACCACAUGUGCAAAGAAUGGCCCCUCUCCAGGUUUUGCAGCCUGUUUGUGGUGAAGAUGAGUGUGCCAGUUCAGAGCCCUCUGUUCAGUGUUGACUAAGGCCUUGAAGAGUUCUUCAGCCUCACUAGGCUGCAGAAGAGCUUAUUGAGACUGUCAGCCUUUUUUCCUGCCAGCUACUUUUUUUUAUUAUUAUUAGGCUGAUAAACUCCUGAAUUGUUGAAAAGCAGCUGCUCUGAGGCGGAUUUAGCUAAUUCUCAGGGUGCUUCUGGGUGUGUGGGAGAUAUAUUUACCUCUGGACUAUGAAGGUCCCUUGCAUUGUUAGACCUAGGUGACCUCUUUUUAGAUCAAAAAGAGGUUUCUGGAAUGCAAUUAAAAUGCAGUAGUUCUUUUCUGUAAAGCCUCGGUAACCCAAUCAACAGUUCUCUUCCCCCAUCUUUUUGUCAGUCAAAGGUAGUGAAACUGACAGUCUGUGUCUUAGUCUUUCCGUAGCUGUUGUGUCAUCUAACGCAACCGGCUCUGUUUUCUGUAGUGAAUGAAUGCUGAAAUCAUUCCAGUGCUGCUCUCCUGAACCCAUGCAUCUUCAAGCUAAGGAGACACUGGUCAUGUGAAAAAGGUAUAAGAAGCUUUCCAAAAUUCCAUAUAAAUAAUAUCAUAUGACUGCAACUUUUCAGAACAAAAAAAAAGUUAAAGAUCAAGCAAAUGGUUUUAGCUCGAAUUGUAGUUGCACACUAUUUCCCUUCAAAAGCAGGGAGGGAAGGCAGGGUCUGUCUGUUCUAUGUGCAUGUAACCUCAGCUGAGACUAAUGAGCUCUCCAUGUUUACCAGCAAGGAUAUGCAAG
ensembl:lncRNA